GAUGAACGCUGGCGGCGUGCCUAAUACAUGCAAGUCGAGCGAACGGACGAGAAGCUUGCUUCUCUGAUGUUAGCGGCGGACGGGUGAGUAACACGUGGAUAACCUACCUAUAAGACUGGGAUAACUUCGGGAAACCGGAGCUAAUACCGGAUAAUAUUUUGAACCGCAUGGUUCAAAAGUGAAAGACGGUCUUGCUGUCACUUAUAGAUGGAUCCGCGCUGCAUUAGCUAGUUGGUAAGGUAACGGCUUACCAAGGCAACGAUGCAUAGCCGACCUGAGAGGGUGAUCGGCCACACUGGAACUGAGACACGGUCCAGACUCCUACGGGAGGCAGCAGUAGGGAAUCUUCGGCAAUGAGCGAAAGCCUGACGGAGAAACGCCGCGUGAGUGAUGAAGGUCUUCGGAUCGUAAAACUCUGUUAUUAGGGAAGAACAUAUGUGUAAGUAACUGUGCACAUCUUGACGGUACCUAAUCAGAAAGCCACGGCUAACUACGUG
rnacentral:rRNA from 1 species